rnacentral:rRNA from 1 species
AGAGUUUGAUCCUGGCUCAGGAUGAACGCUAGCUACAGGCUUAACACAUGCAAGUCGAGGGGAAACGACAUCGAAAGCUUGCUUUUGAUGGGCGUCGACCGGCGCACGGGUGAGUAACGCGUAUCCAACCUGCCCAUCACUUGGGGAUAACCUUGCGAAAGUAAGACUAAUACCCAAUGAUAUCUCUAGAAGGCAUCUGAAAGAGAUUAAAGAUUUAUCGGUGAUGGAUGGGGAUGCGUCUGAUUAGCUUGUUGGCGGGGUAACGGCCACCAAAGCAACGAUCAGUAGGGUUCUGAGAGGAAGGUCCCCCANAUUGGAACUGAGACACGGUCCAAACGUCCUACGGGAGGCA